UACGGAGGGUGCGAGCGUUGUCCGGAAUCACUGGCGUAAAGGGCGCGUAGGUGGCGCGGCAAGUCAACGGUGAAAGCUCGACGCUCAACGUCGAGUCGGCCGUCGAUACUGCUGGCUUGAGCACGUGUAGAGGCAGAUGGAAUUCCUGGUGUAGCGGUGGAAUGCGCAGAUAUCAGGAGGAACACCAAUAGCGAAGGCAGCUCGCUGGGACGGUACUGACGCUGAGACGCGAAGCGUGGGGAGCAAACAGG
rnacentral:rRNA from 1 species